UGUAGUGGUGAAAUGCGUAGAGAUCGGGAGGAACACCAGUGGCGAUAAGCGGCCUUCCUUGACCGUACUGACGCUCAGACGCGAAAGCUAGGGGAGGCGAACGGGAUUAGAAACCCCGGUAGUCCUAGCCGUAAACGAUGUCGACUUGGCGUCGGUGGGGUAAAUGCCAGCGGUGCCGGAGCGAACGCGGUAAGUCGACCGCCUGGGGACUACGGCCGCAAGGUUAAAACUCAAAGGAAUUGACGGGGGCCCGCACAAGCAGCGGAGCGUGUGGUUUAAUUCGAUGUUACGCGAAGAACCUUACCCGGGCUUGACAUGCACGUGGUAGCGGAGCGAAAGCCGAGCGACCCUUCGGGGAGCGUGCACAGGUGCUGCAUGGCCGUCGUCAGCUCGUGUCGUGAGAUGUCCGGUUAAGUCCGGUAACGAGCGCAACCCUCGCCGUAUGUUACAGGUACCAUACGGGACUGCUGGUAUCAAGCCGGAGGAAGGUGGGGAUGACGUCAAGUCAACAUGGCCUUGAUGUCCGGGGCGACACGCACGCUACAAUGGCCGGUACAAUGGGUUGCAAACCCGCGAGGGGGAGCCAAUCCCCAAAGCCGGUCUCAGUUCAGAUUGCAGGCUGCAACCCGCCUGCAUGAAGUCGGAGUUGCUAGUAACCGCAGGACAGCUCUACUGCGGUGAAUACGUUCCCGGGCCUUGUACACACCGCCCGUCACGUCAUGGGAGCUGGCAACACCUGAAGCCGGUAUCAUAACCGCAAGGAGUGAGCCGUCGAAGGUGGGGCUGGUGACUGGGACGAAGUCGUAACAAGGUAGGUGUACCGGAAGGUGCGGCUGGAUCACCUCCUU
rnacentral:rRNA from 1 species